rnacentral:rRNA from 41 species
UACACCUGUUCCCAUGCCGAACACAGAAGUUAAGCUUCUUAGCGCCGAUUGUAGUGAAGGGUUUCCCUUUGUGAGAGUAGGACGUCGCCACGCG